rnacentral:rRNA from 1 species
GGUGAACGCUGGCGGCGUGCCUAAUACAUGCAAGUCGAGCGAACGGACGAGAAGCUUGCUUCUCUGAUGUUAGCGGCGGACGGGUGAGUAACACGUGGAUAACCUACCUAUAAGACUGGGAUAACUUCGGGAAACCGGAGCUAAUACCGGAUAAUAUUUUGAACCGCAUGGUUCAAAAGUGAAAGACGGUCUUGCUGUCACUUAUAGAUGGAUCCGCGCUGCAUUAGCUAGUUGGUAAGGUAGCGGCUUACCAAGGCAACGAUGCAUAGCCGACCUGAGAGGGUGAUCGGCCACACUGGAACUGAGACACGGCCCAGACUCCUACGGGAGGCAGCAGUAGGGAAUCUUCCGCAAUGGGCGAAAUCCUGACGGAGCAACGCCGCGUGAGUGAUGAAGGUCUUCGGAUCGUAAAACUCUGUUAUUAGGGAAGAACAUAUGUGUAAGUAACUGUGCACAUCUUGACGGUACCUAAUCAGAAAGCCACGGCUAACUACGUG